GAGAGUAUAGCUCAGAGGUAGAGCACAUGCUUAGCAUGCACAAGGCCCUGGGUUCAAUUCCCAGUACCUCCA
rnacentral:tRNA from 1 species